rnacentral:lncRNA from 1 species
AAGACUUGUUGAUAUUUGGUCCCAAAUGGGAUAAGAACCCAAAACCAUUGCUUUGAGGCAGUGAAUGGCUUGUAUAAAGUCAUUUUGGGUUAGAAUAUGUUAUAAUACAAUGAAUUUGAUUGAUUACAAGUGCUAGAGAUACAUGAAUAAUAUUUAGAAGUGAGAAGAAAGACUUGUUGAUAUUUGGUCCCAAAUGGGAUAAGAACCC